rnacentral:rRNA from 1 species
UACGAAGGGAGCUAGCGUUGUUCGGAAUCACUGGGCGUAAAGCGCACGUAGGCGGAUUUGCCAGUCAGGGGUGAAAUCCCGGGGCUCAACCUCGGAACUGCCUUUGAUACAGCAAGUCUUGAGUUCGAGAGAGGUGGGUGGAAUUCCUAGUGUAGAGGUGAAAUUCGUAGAUAUUAGGAAGAACACCGGUGGCGAAGGCGGCCCACUGGCUCGACACUGACGCUGAGGUGCGAAAGCGUGGGUAGCAAACAGG